rnacentral:rRNA from 1 species
GUGGGGAAUAUUGGACAAUGGGCGAAAGCCUGAUCCAGCCAUGCCGCGUGUGUGAAGAAGGUCUUCGGAUUGUAAAGCACUUUAAGUUGGGAGGAAGGGCAGUAAGUUAAUACCUUGCUGUUUUGACGUUACCGACAGAAUAAGCACCGGCUAACUUCGUGCCAGCAGCCGCGGUAAUACGAAGGGUGCAAGCGUUAAUCGGAAUUACUGGGCGUAAAGCGCGCGUAGGUGGUUUUGUAAGUUGGAGGUGAAAUCCCCGGGCUCAACCUGGGAACUGCCUCCAAACUGCAUGACUAGAGUACGGUAGAGGGUAGUGGAAUCUCCUGUGUAGCGGUGAAAUGCGUAGAUAUAGGAAGGAACACCAGUGGCGAAGGCGACUACCUGGACUGAUACUGACACUGAGGUGCGAAAGCGUGGGGAGCAAACAGGAUUAGAUACCCGGGUAGUCC